rnacentral:rRNA from 1 species
GAGCGCCGUAGCAAUACGGAGCGGCAGACGGGAGAGUAACACGUGGGAACGUGCCCUUUGGUCCGGAACAACCCAGGGAAACUUGGGCUAAUACCGGAUAAGUCCGUAAGGAGAAAGAUUUAUCGCUGAAGGAUCGGCCCGCGUCUGAUUAGCUAGUUGGUGAGGUAACGGCUCACCAAGGCUACGAUCAGUAGCUGGUCUGAGAGGAUGAUCAGCCUCACUGGGACUGAGACACGGCCCAGACUCCUACGGGAGGCAGCAGUGGGGAAUAUUGGACAAUGGGCGCAAGCCUGAUCCAGCCAUGCCGCGUGGAUGAUGAAGGCCUUAGGGUUGUAAAAUCCUUUCGGCGGGGAAGAUAAUGACGGUACCCGCAGAAGAAGCCCCGGCUAACUUCGUGCCAGCAGCCGCGGUAAUACGAAGGGGGCUAGCGUUGCUCGGAAUCACUGGGCGUAAAGCGCACGUAGGCGGCUUUUUAAGUCAGGGGUGAAAUCCUGGAGCUCAACUCCAGAACUGCCUUUGAUACUGAGAGGCUUGAGUCCGGGAGAGGUGAGUGGAACUGCGAGUGUAGAGGUGAAAUUCGUAGAUAUUCGCAAGAACACCAGUGGCGAAGGCGGCUCACUGGCCCGGUACUGACGCUGAGGUGCGAAAGCGUGGGGA